CACAUAUGUUCAUGAAAAUUCAAACAUUACCCCAAACAGGUAUGUACCAAGCGAAACCCAACCCUUAUGAAGAAUUGCUGCUCACUCAUUGCUAAUUUUGAGGUGGGGGGUAACUUUUAAUUCUGAUAUAAUUUCAAAUUUACAAAAAAGUCACAAGAAUAGUACACAGACUCUGGUAUGCCUUUUACGCAGAUUUAUCAAUUAUUGACAUUUUGUCCCUUUUGGUUUAUUUUUCUCUCUGUAUACAGAUGUAUGCGUUUGAGUGUGUGAGUGUGUGCGUGUGUACUCUGUGUACGAUCUCUUCCCAGGCUAUUUGCGAGGAAGCUGCAGCCAUGUGCCCUUUUACCUCCAAAUGCUUCAGGGUGAAUUUCCUAAGAACAAGGACAUUCUCUUACAACGUAAGACUUACAUAACCCCUGCAGUUAACAAAAUCAGGAAACUCACCACUGAUACAACACCAUUAUCUAGUCCACAGUCCAUGUUCAAAGUCAGUUGUGUCAUGACCUUUUCAUAGGUUUCCAGCGAAAGUAGAAACAUCCGGACGACAGAGAGAUUUUCUUAAAGCUAACGUGUAUUUAGCUUGAAGGAUUGUGCUCGAUUCUAAAAUCAUGCUCUCCCUGGUCCUUUUAGUUUUAUUGGUGUUUAAGAUGUCCCCUCUUUUAUGAAAUGGAAUCCCAAGGUGGUCCCUCCGGCACCACGGUUCUCCGAGUCCAGGUGAGUCAGAUCACUGGACACUUUCCUGAAGCCUGUUGAGAGCAUACCUGCUCCCAACACUGGGGGUGGGGCAUGGGAUAAACAGCCACAGCCCUGCCUCUCGGGGAGCCCAUGGCCUCUCACCCAGCAGAGUGCCCCUUUACUCUUUCUGUGGCUCUCCUGCAUCCCCUACCUUGCAAGUCAUGGGCAAGCAGAGCCCUUCUCCCACCAUGAAAACCCGACCUCACUUUCCCAGUCUCCUUUGCAGCUGUAGGGCAGGCAUAUGAUCUGGCUCAGCCAAUCAGAUGCACUCCCAGGAACUCUGAAUCUUAGCAGGUGAUACAAAGACGUGGUGAUGGGAUCUAUCUGACAGAAUUGGCGGCAGCUGCCCCAGGAGGUUUCCAGGGCCAGAGGAGCCUCAGGGCCAGUUUCACUGUUGUCCUCCCUGCUCUAGCCCUGAGGUGUGAUUUGGCAGGGGUUCUGGCUGCUGUCUGGUCCUCCCUGGUUCCUGAGCUUAGCUCUCCAGCCAGCCCGAGGAGUCCGUGAGCUUUCUGUUGCUUUCAACGAAGAACCCUGACAAUAAACAGAGACAAGUCAGCAUCGUGGAGAUAGAGAGGAGCUGGGACCUGGACGUGGAUACAUAGGCAGUUGGGCAACAGUGAUUCUGUGAGGUGGGUGGCCACAGAGGACUCUAGUUUCCUUAUCUGGCUUGUGGAUGGGACACCCUGUCUAGGUGCUAGGUAGGGUAGCCCGACAGGAAGUGCUGUGUGUGAGGGAUAGAGGGAUGCGAGAGGAGAGAGCGUGGAGCCCGAGGAUGGGGCUGGGAGGAAGGAGAUGAGCUCAAGGAAGGAGUGGGGGUGGCUUUGUAGGAGGAAACAGCCAAGCUGGGUCACACGGUUCCAACUGCCCAAAAUAUUUUUUGACCCUUUUCUAUAUGCCAAGCAGUGUAUUGGUUAAUGAAACAGUCUGGGGGGGGGGUAGGCAUGUUAUCCUCAUUUUACAUAUAAAGGAAGGGUAACACAGAGAUGAAAGAGCUUGUACAAGAUCAGAAAUGCAGAAAGGGACAGAACUCACACCUGGGUCUAACUCUGACAUUGAUGCUCUUAAGAACCCAGACAGAUGCUCAGAUGAGAGACCAACGUCCCUGCCUCCAUCCCUGAGUUUUUAUUACUUCCUUUAAGUAACCUUCGCCCCCCAGUUCAACCCUAAACUCAUCAACUCUCCAAGGAGAAGAAUAGGAGUUACUCUACGAAGCAUUUGUAAGGAAGCCCUGGUGGGGCAGAGAGGCGUGUGGACUUGAGAAGCAGACCCACGUGGAUUCCACCACAGCCUGGUCUCAUCCUAGCUGUGUGCGAUCUCAGCCAUUGUAUCUGUCACCAGCUACCGUGUAACAAGCCACCACAAAACUCAGCGAGUUAAAACAACAACUGUUUAUUUGCUUAUGCUUCUAAAAUUUGCGCAGGGCUUGAUGGGACGGCUCCUUUAUUCUCCACCUGGUGUUAUGUUUUCUAAGUGAAGUCCAUGGGACAAUGGCACAGAGGAGAUAUGCACAGUACGCAUGCCCACCCUCUUCCUUGCGUCCCUGUCCCUAUAUAGAGUUCCUUUCUCUUUUGGUCCUUCCUCACCCAUCAGCCAGCCCGAGGUAGAAAACUUUGGGAGAAUCCAUGCAUAUCAAAAAGAGAAGCUCUUCCAGUAAGUGGCCUGAGGUGAUUUCUAGAAACGGUUCCCUAUUCAGUUGACCCAGAAGACCCCACAAAGUCAUGCAAAUCAAGAGGUCCAAAUCUUCGUGUUCUCUUUAAGAACACCCGUGAAACGACCCUGGUCAUCAAGGACAUGCAUACCCGAAAGCCUCCGGGUAUCUGCAGGGUGUCACUUUACAGAGGCAGCGUGUGCUGUCCCGUUGCUACAACGGCAGAGUUGGUAGGGCUGCCCUGGGCAAACUGUGCGGCUGGACAUGGGGUCAGGGUCCCGAAGGAGUGCUGAAUGUUUGCUGCACGGGAUUAAAAACGAAGAGGGCAAAGCAGAACUUAGCGGUUCAGAUGUCGAUUCUCUGGUCAUUGAGCACAUAUAGGCAAGAGUGUGCCUGUCCUAACACAGGUCCUGGCUGGCAGACCUUAGCGGUUCAGAUGUUGAUUCUCUGGUCAUUGAGCACAUAUAGGCAAGAGUGUGCCUGUCCUAACACAGGUCCUGGCUGGCUUCACCCCUGCGAGAGCACGCCUGCCACUGAGAUGCUCCUCAUUAAAGGGCAGUAGAUUGUUCCUAGACCAGAGAGAAGGCUGCACAGAAGAAAAAGUUAUCCCAGAAGAAAUACAGACUUAUGGCCAGGAAUAAGUUCAGCAUAAAAUAAAUGCAAAUAAAAGUAAAAGCAGAAGAAAAAAAAGACAUAAAAAAUUGAGUUUCGUGUGGUAUUUUGUGCAGUGUUUCCA
rnacentral:lncRNA from 1 species